AGCAGCCGCGGUAAUUCCAGCUCCAAUAGCGUAUAUUAAAGUUGUCGCAGUUAAAAAGCUCGUAGUUGAAUUUCGGGGUUCUACCGUUGGUCGGGCUAACCAGUCUGUACUAGCGUGUAGAAUUCCUACCUUCUGGGGAACCAUCAUGUUAUUAAUUUAGCGUGGUGGGAAACCAGGACCUUUACCUUGAAAAAAUUAGAGUGUUCAAAGCAGGCUUACGUCUGAAUACAUUAGCGUGGAAUAAUAAAAUAGGACGGUGGUCCUGUUUUGUUGGUUUCUGAAUCACCGUAAUGAUUAAUAGGGAUAGUUGGGGGCAUUAGUAUUCAAUUGUCAGAGGUGAAAUUCUUGGAUUUAUUGAAGACUAACUUCUGCGAAAGCAUUUGCCAAGGAUGUUUUCAUUAAUCAAGAACGAAAGUUAGGGGAUCGAAGACGAUCAGAUACCGUCGUAGUCUUAACCAUAAACUAUGCCGACUAGGGAUCGGACGAUGUUAAAUUUUAUUGACUCGUUCGGCGCCUUACG
rnacentral:rRNA from 1 species